ACGUCCGCGAGGCUCCCGGGCCCGCCGGCGUCUGUGGGGAACUGGGGCGCUGGUCGGUGCGCGGGCUGGGACGCUAAGUCAUGAGGAAUUAAACUGGGAAACCUGGCGUGGGUCCAGGCGCCUUCCAGGAGGCAUCCGGCGCGGCCCGGACGUGCUUCUACCCAGAACCACCCCCUCCAGGCCGGGGUGCACUUAACGGGGCUAUACAAAGAGUCUGGUGGGUGACUGUGGGCCUCAUCCCUAUCCCGGGGUCUGAUAGGGAAGACUCUCGGGCCCCGCAGGGAAUAUCUGGCUAGUGCACCCUCGGCGGGAGCGCCACUCUCCCUCCUUGGGCGGCGCCCCCCACCUCUCAUCCCGCCCAAUCCGUUUUGCAAAGUCGGCCAAAACAAAAACAAACUUGGAGCGCUGAUAGACACUGUUAUUGCCCAUCUGAACUCGUCAACUGAGAAGGAAAGAGAUGGUUUAUGCUGUGAAUAAAAUACAGUUGUGCUGUGAUGUAAAUCCCCUCAUCCUGGAGCAGCUGAGCAAGGUCUAAGGCAGGAAGAACCUUCAAGCAGGUCAUGGCUUGCAGGCUCAACUCUGCCUGGCAGUGGCAAGGGCCAGGGCCAGUGACUGAAGCAACAAACUGCCAGAUGACUGCAGCUCAAGCCAAUGCACAAAGCCACUGCAACAAGAGAGGAAAUUCUUCCAUUUCCAAGUGUGUCGAUUUCUCCCCAUCAAGGAAAACAGCUAAGGCAAUGUGUUGAUAUUUUCUUUGACCAAGUCAUCAGGAGUCACAUAGACAUACAGCACUCAAGAAGUGGCUGUAACUAAAGGCACAUCUCGUUCAUCUACAACCCUUGUAAUCCCAACCUUUGUCUGAUGCACAAACCCUUCCCUAGUUCUCCCCACCACCACCACUGCACCUCCAAGUGGGGACAACGAAUUGUUUCAUUUGCAUGUGGUUUUUCUCAUGAAAAAUAUCAUUAACAUGAGACAGCCCCAAACCAAGGAAACCAGAAGUGGGGUUUGUGCUUGGUCUUACUGAGAGCUUUCCCUACUUGACCAGACCCCAGCAUUGUUCUAGAUUUGUCUCUUGUGGGCUACAGGAAUGCAAACAUUUUGUAGUUUCCUCUUUUUUGUUUUCUUAAUGGCUUGAUGAGCCACACAUGUUUCUCUAAAUGCAUGAUUUUAAAUUCACACAA